AGUAGGUGGGGUAACGGCUCACCUAGGCGACGAUCCCUAGCUGGUCUGAGAGGAUGACCAGCCACACUGGAACUGAGACACGGUCCAGACUCCUACGGGAGGCAGCAGUGGGGAAUAUUGCACAAUGGGCGCAAGCCUGAUGCAGCCAUGCCGCGUGUAUGAAGAAGGCCUUCGGGUUGUAAAGUACUUUCAGCGGGGAGGAAGGGAGUAAAGUUAAUACCUUUGCUCAUUGACGUUACCCGCAGAAGAAGCACCGGCUAACUCCGUGCCAGCAGCCGCGGUAAUACGGAGGGUGCAAGCGUUAAUCGGAAUUACUGGGCGUAAAGCGCACGCAGGCGGUUUGUUAAGUCAGAUGUGAAAUCCCCGGGCUCAACCUGGGAACUGCAUCUGAUACUGGCAAGCUUGAGUCUCGUAGAGGGGGGUAGAAUUCCAGGGGUAGCGGUGAAAUGCGUAGAGAUCUGGAGGAAUACCGGUGGCGAAGGCGGCCCCCUGGACGAAGACUGACGCUCAGGUGCGAAAGCGUGGGGAGCAAACAGGAUUAGAUACCCUGGUAGUCCACGCCGUAAACGAUGUCGACUUGGAGGUUGUGCCCUUGAGGCGUGGCUUCCGGAGCUAACGCGUUAAGUCGACCGCCUGGGGAGUACGGCCGCAAGGUUAAAACUCAAAUGAAUUGACGGGGGCCCGCACAAGCGGUGGAGCAUGUGGUUUAAUUCGAUGCAACGCGAAGAACCUUACCUGGUCUUGACAUCCACGGAAGUUUUCAGAGAUGAGAAUGUGCCUUCGGGAACCGUGAGACAGGUGCUGCAUGGCUGUCGCCAGCUCGUGUUGUGAAAUGUUGGGUUAAGUCCCGCAACGAGCGCAACCCUUAUCCUUUGUUGCCAGCGGUCCGGCCGGGAACUCAAAGGAGACUGCCAGUGAUAAACUGGAGGAAGGUGGGGAUGACGUCAA
rnacentral:rRNA from 1 species